rnacentral:misc_RNA from 1 species
AAGUCGUAACAAGGUUUCCGUAGGUGAACCUGCGGAAGGAUCAUUAUUGGAGUGGUUGUUUUGGAAGUAGUGUGAACGGGACUGUGUUUGGGGUGGAUCGAUCAUUUUAGGUGAUUGAUUGCCCCGCUUGUUAACCACCUUACCAUCUCUUGAUUACCACUUGGGAUCACUCCCAUGGGAUAAAACAACUUUUAGCAACGGAUCUCUAGGCUCUC